rnacentral:tRNA from 1 species
GCCGAAGUGGCGGAACUGGCAGACGCGCUACGUUCAGGGCGUAGUUCUGGAAACGGAGUGUGGGUUCGACUCCCACCUUCGGCACAA